UACGUAGGUGGCAAGCGUUGUCCGGAUUUACUGGGCGUAAAGAGCUCGUAGGCGGUCUGUCGCGUCGGCUGUGAAAACUCGGGGCUCAACCCCGAGCCUGCAGUCGAUACGGGCAGACUAGAGUUCGGUAGGGGAGACUGGAAUUCCUGGUGUAGCGGUGAAAUGCGCAGAUAUCAGGAGGAACACCGGUGGCGAAGGCGGGUCUCUGGGCCGAUACUGACGCUGAGGAGCGAAAGCGUGGGGAGCAAACAGG
rnacentral:rRNA from 1 species